AACGAACGCUGGCGGCAGGCUUAACACAUGCAAGUCGAGCGCCCUUUUCGGAGGGAGCGGCAGACGGGUGAGUAACACGUGGGAAUCUACCCAUCACUACGGAACAACUCCGGGAAACUGGAGCUAAUACCGUAUAUGUCCUUCGGGAGACAGAUUUAUCGGUGAUGGAUGAGCCCGCGUUGGAUUAGCUAGUUGGUGGGGUAAAGGCCUACCAAGGCGACGAUCCAUAGCUGGUCUGAGAGGAUGAUCAGCCACACUGGGACUGAGACACGGCCCAGACUCCUACGGGAGGCAGCAGUGGGGAAUAUUGGACAAUGGGCGCAAGCCUGAUCCAGCCAUGCCGCGUGAGUGAUGAAGGCCCUAGGGUUGUAAAGCUCUUUCACCGGUGAAGAUAAUGACGGUAACCGGAGAAGAAGCCCCGGCUAACUUCGUGCCAGCAGCCGCAGUAA
rnacentral:rRNA from 1 species